rnacentral:rRNA from 1 species
GUCCCAGCCGCCGCGGUAAUACGGAGGGUGCAAGCGUUAAUCGGAAUUACUGGGCGUAAAGCGCGCGUAGGUGGUUCAGUCAGUCAGAUGUGAAAGCCCCGGGCUCAACCUGGGAAUUGCACCUGAUACUGCUGAGCUAGAGUACGGUAGAGGGUAGUGGAAUUUCCGGUGUAGCGGUGAAAUGCGUAGAGAUCGGAAGGAACACCAGUGGCGAAGGCGACUACCUGGACCGAUACUGACACUGAGGUGCGAAAGCGUGGGUAGCAAACAGGAUUAGAUACCCUGGUAGUCCACGCCGUAAACGAUGUCAACUAGCCGUUGGGGGACUUGAUCCUUUAGUGGCGCAGCUAACGCGAUAAGUUGACCGCCUGGGGAGUACGGCCGCAAGGUUAAAACUCAAAUGAAUUGACGGGGGCCCGCACAAGCGGUGGAGCAUGUGGUUUAAUUCGAAGCAACGCGAAGAACCUUACCUACUCUUGACAUCCAGAGAACUUUCCAGAGAUGGAUUGGUGCCUUCGGGAACUCUGAGACAGGUGCUGCAUGGCUGUCGUCAGCUCGUGUUGUGAAAUGUUGGGUUAAGUCCCGUAACGAGCGCAACCCCUAUCCUUAUUUGCCAGCACUUCGGGUGGGAACUCUAAGGAGACUGCCGGUGACAAACCGGAGGAAGGUGGGGAUGACGUCAAGUCAUCAUGGCCCUUACGAGUAGGGCUACACACGUGCUACAAUGGCCGGUACAGAGGGCUGCAAACUCGCGAGGGUAAGCUAAUCUCACAAAACCGGUCGUAGUCCGGAUUGGAGUCUGCAACUCGACUCCAUGAAGUCGGAAUCGCUAGUAAUCGUGAAUCAGAAUGUCACGGUGAAUACGUUCCCGGGCCUUGUACACACCGCCCGUCACACCAUGGGAGUGGGUUGCACCAGAAGUAGCUAGUCUAACCUUCGGGAGGACGGUUACCACGGUGUGAUUCAUGACUGGGGUGAAGUCGUAACAAGGUAACC